rnacentral:rRNA from 1 species
AGUGAACGCUGGCGGUAGGCCUAACACAUGCAAGUCGAACGGCAGCACAGUAAGAGCUUGCUCUUACGGGUGGCGAGUGGCGGACGGGUGAGGAAUACAUCGGAAUCUACUUUUUCGUGGGGGAUAACGUAGGGAAACUUACGCUAAUACCGCAUACGACCUACGGGUGAAAGCAGGGGAUCUUCGGACCUUGCGCGAUUGAAUGAGCCGAUGUCGGAUUAGCUAGUUGGCGGGGUAAAGGCCCACCAAGGCGACGAUCCGUAGCUGGUCUGAGAGGAUGAUCAGCCACACUGGAACUGAGACACGGUCCAGACUCCUACGGGAGGCAGCAGUGGGGAAUAUUGGACAAUGGGCGCAAGCCUGAUCCAGCCAUACCGCGUGGGUGAAGAAGGCCUUCGGGUUAUAAAGCCCUUUUGUUGGGAAAGAAAAGCAGCAGGUUAAUACCCCGCUGUUCUGACGGUACCCAAUGAAUAAGCACCGGCUAACUUCGUG